rnacentral:rRNA from 1 species
AUGAGAAUUCCGUACCCAUUUGGCACGAAAGUUGGCUGUUUCCUCCCGGGCUUCCAGAUCACCUGCAACAACACCUUCGUUCCUCCUCGCGCCUUCCUUGGAUCUUCCUUCCUAGGCGGAGCAAUCCAGCAUAUUAUCAGUGGGAACUACUCUAUGGACGAUCCAGAUACUAUCCAGGUGGACGACCGGAUGGAUACAACGCCGAUGGAGCUCAUGGACAUCUCGGUCUCCCUUGCUGAAGUUCAGGUAUUCGGCGCGGUCAGCUCAGAUUGCCAAGGGAAGCAACCCUGCCAUUUCUACAUUCGUCGAAGAACGUAUGUCCCCUAUGAGGGGCCUUUCCUCAUCUCGGCGAGCCGCAAUGUCCUCACCGGUGUCGGCUUGAAUGUCGAGGCCGAGUUGACCACUUCCAUGUAUGGCUCGAACUCCCUAGACAGUUGCACUUCAGUGCCCAACUCAAUGGCAAUCGCGAAAGAAGGGCCGUGCAACGCGCAAGGCUGCUGUGAAGCCGCCGUCCCCCCAGGAUUGAAUUCCAUCAUGGCCAUGGCCGACAAGAAGAGGACUGAUUGGCGGAAGACCAACGCCAACUGCUCCUUUGCCAUGGUGGUGCAGAAGACAUGGUACAACUACUCCUUGGAGGUGUGA